rnacentral:rRNA from 1 species
GACGAACGCUGGCGGCGUGCCUAAUACAUGCAAGUAGAACGCUGAAGACUUUAGCUUGCUAAAGUUGGAAGAGUUGCGAACGGGUGAGUAACGCGUAGGUAACCUGCCUACUAGCGGGGGAUAACUAUUGGAAACGAUAGCUAAUACCGCAUAACAGCAUUUAACCCAUGUUAGAUGCUUGAAAGGAGCAAUUGCUUCACUAGUAGAUGGACCUGCGUUGUAUUAGCUAGUUGGUGAGGUAACGGCUCACCAAGGCGACGAUACAUAGCCGACCUGAGAGGGUGAUUGGCCACACUGGGACUGAGACACGGCCCAGACUCCUACGGGAGGCAGCAGUAGGGAAUCUUCGGCAAUGGGGGCAACCCUGACCGAGCAACGCCGCGUGAGUGAAGAAGGUUUUCGGAUCGUAAAGCUCUGUUGUAAGAGAAGAACGUGUGUGAGAGUGGAAAGUUCACACAGUGACGGUA